rnacentral:rRNA from 1 species
GGUUAACGCUGGGCGGCGUGCCUAACACAUGCAAGUCGAACGGUUCUAAGCGCGAGCUUAGGAUAGUGGCGAACGGGUGAGUAAAAGGUAGGAAUCUACCCCUUGGACGGAGAUAGCUACUGGAAACGGUAGGUAAACUUCGAUAAGCCCGAGAGGGGAAAGUGGUGAGACAGCCGAGGGAUGAGCCUACUCUCCAUCAGGUAGUUGGUAGGGUAAUAGCCUACCAAGCCGAUGACGGGUAGCCGGCCUGAGAGGGUGGUCGGCCACAUUGGGACUGAGACACGGCCCAAACUCCUACGGGAGGCAGCAGCCGGGAAUAUUCCGCAAUGGGGGAAACCCUGACGGAGCGACGCCGCGUGAGGGAAGAAGCCCUUCGGGGUGUAAACCUCUUUUCUCGGGGAAGAGUAGAGACGGUACCCGAGGAAUAAGCCCCGGCUAACUACGUG